rnacentral:rRNA from 1 species
GAUAAACGCUGGCGGCGUGCCUAAUGCAUGCAAGUCGCACGGAUCACUGCUUUGGCAGUGGUGAGUGGCGAACGGGUGAGGAACACGUGGCCAACCUACCCCGGCGUGGGGGAUACCCGCCAGAAAUGGCGGCUAAUACCGCGUACGGUCCCGUUGUGGUGCGCAGCGGGAAGAAAGCCGGAAGGCGCGCUGGGAGGGGGCUGCGGCCGAUUAGUUAGACGGUGGGGUAACGGCCUACCGUGACGAUGAUCGGUAGCGGGUCUGAGAGGAUGAUCCG